GACGAACGCUGGCGGCGUGCCUAAUACAUGCAAGUCGAACGCAGGGGGGACGGGUGAGUAACACGUGGGUAACCUGCCAUCAGAGGGGAUAACACGUGGAAACAGGUGCUAAACCGAUACGGGUGGAUGGACCCGCUGGGCAUUAGCUAGUUGGUGAGGUAACGGCUCACCAAGGCUACGAUGCAUAGCCGACCUGAGAGGGUGAUCGGCCACACUGGAACUGUGACACGGCCCAGACUCCUACGGGAGGCAGCAGUAGGGAAUCUUCGGCAAUGGACGAAAGUCUGACCGAGCAACGCCGCGUGAGUGAAGAAGGUUUUCGGAUCGUAAAGCUCUGUUGUUAGAGAAGCGUUACCUACCCAGAAAGCCACGGCUAACUACGUGCCAGCAGCCGCGGUAAUAC
rnacentral:rRNA from 1 species